rnacentral:pre_miRNA from 1 species
CAAGUACUCCCUCCGUCUUAAAAUUCUUGUCUUAGAUUUGUCUAGAUACAGAUGUAUCUAAUACUAAAAUGUGACUUGAUACAUCCAUAUUUAGACAAAUUUAAGACAAGAAUUUUGAGACGGAGGGAGUAUGUC